GUAAGGGCCACUGAGGGAGGAGGGGGGGUCCAUUAAGGGGUUUGGAAGAGGGAGGCCCACCAAACCCCUUUGGUGGGCCUCCGGGCCUCCCUCUCCCAAACCCCUUAAUGGACCCCCCCUCCUCCCUCAGUGGCCCUUACUCC